rnacentral:piRNA from 1 species
UGAAAGCCCAUUAGCAACACGGCAGA